rnacentral:ncRNA from 1 species
UCCGGGUCAGCGCGAGAACUACCGUAGGUCACUGUGAAAGUGGCAGCUCGAAAGAGUGGGAUCCUACGGCUCGGGGCCCGGAGUUUU